rnacentral:lncRNA from 1 species
UUUUAGGGGUUCAGGGAGGUCUUCCAAGAGAGAGAGCUUUUGUGAGGGGAACUUCUAAUGAGAGAGAAAUUGGGUGUACGAGGGUUGAGAGUGAGAUCUCCUCUUGUAAAAUUUUUUUUCAUAGUGAAGUUUGCAUGCCCCGUGGAGGCGAGCCCUUUUGUGGCUGAUUCACGUAUUUUGAUUAUUUUUUGUUUUAUUUCUUCUUUCUUCUUUUUGCUUCGCGUGGUACUGAAAAGGUUUUGGGAGAUAGUGUCCUGGCCAGACAUCCACCCA